rnacentral:lncRNA from 1 species
GAAACUUCUUUAUUGUGUGAAGUGUUAAUACUCCAUGGUCUUAACCAUAUUCUCAUUCCAAUAUUAGAUUAACAUUUAAACUUGCUCCUACUUGAUUCAUCAUAUAUACCGCUCUACAUCAGUUGGUCACUUUCCUCCCAGAAACCACGACUUCCCUUCCUUGCACUAAGUUACAUAAAACAUAAUUACAACACCUUGUCUUGAUUUGGAUAAUCAAUACUCGUUAACUCUUCA